rnacentral:rRNA from 1 species
UACGUAGGGAGCAAGCGUUGUUCGGAUUUACUGGGCGUAAAGGGCGCGUAGGCGGCGCGGUAAGUCACUUGUGAAAUCUCUGAGCUUAACUCAGAACGGCCAAGUGAUACUGCAGUGCUAGAGUGCAGAAAGGGCAAUCGGAAUUCUUGGUGUAGCGGUGAAAUGCGUAGAUAUCAAGAGGAACACCUGAGGCGAAGGCGGGUUGCUAGGCUGACACUGACGCUGAGGCGCGAAAGCCAGGGGAGCAAACGGGAUUAGAAACCCGUGUAGUCC